AAUUCUCAACUUCAAAAGAUUUUACUUUCUUUUGAAGCUUGGACUUUGGAGGUUGUUUGCAGGCAUUUUAAAUGUCAGCUCCUCUUAAAAGCAUUAGCAGAACUUACAAGUGCUCAGCUAUUGGUUUGAUAAUAAAAUAUCUAUGCCAUGACUGUGCAAACUUCAAUACAAGUUCAGCUUCCAAUUGUCUUUGGACUGUCUCUUUGAGACACUUUUAA
rnacentral:misc_RNA from 1 species